AUCGCCGCUGUCCCGGGGUCUGGCUGGGACCCGGUUUCUCGUGAGGUCCGUGCGCCAUGCGGGCCGCGGCUCAGAGAGCCCGGGCCUGUUCUCGUGCCUUCGCUCCGGCCAGGAGCUGCGGGCUCUCGGAGCUGUGCCCUGACGGGGAAAGAGAGCCCCGGGUGUCCCGGAUGCCGAGAGGCCCAGAGCGCCCCCAGCCCGGAGGAAGAGGGGAGGCGGAAGGGGAAAGCAGUUUCAAGGAAAGAAUUGCUUAAAAAGGGAAAUCUGAACGCAACCGGAGUUUCCGUACUGUUUGUGACAGCAGCUUUGGUGCCGCGGGCCAAACUUACAUCCUGGGCCCGCGCCCUUGACCCCUAGAUUCCCCUCCAUGAGCAUAUUUCUCCAGUUUCCAAAAUUAGUCUUUGCCCAGAAGAGAGUUUUGGAGAUCCGGUGAGUUCUUGAGGUAUCCAGAGGCACUCACUCGAUGAGGGAUUUGAAGACCAGAGAAGACACCAAAGCGAAGACCAUUAGAAUAUACUUUUAAAUGAGCAGUUCCAUCAUUGUCAUAAUGGAAAGGCUCUGAAGGGCUGUAUCCCCAGGAUCUUUAUUUGAAGAAGCCUGUGAAUGUGAGGCUAAAGUAAAAAAAACAACGGGAAGACUCUGAGGGAAAAAUUUCACAAAAAUGUCUUGCUCAAACCACUGGUUUUCAGCCAGCAGCAGGUGCGCAGGAAGAACUAGCCUUUCGGGACAAUAGGCAUCAUUUCAGUGAAUUUGAGAGAAGUAUUGACGUAAGGCGUACACUUGUUCCACAGGAGAUUAUUCCUUCCGAAGAAGAACCACUUCUACUUGAUCCAUUUGGGGAAAGUGUCAAUGGAACUUAUUUCCAAUUAAAAGGCAAGGAAAUUCUAAAAAGGAAACAUAAUUGUAAUGUUCAUGGAGAAAAUUUCAGUGAGCGUCCAAACUUUUUUCGUCAUCAGAGAAUUCAUACUGGUGAGAAUCCUUAUAAAUGUGAUGACUGUGGAAAAGCAUUUAGCCACAGUCCAUCUCUUAUUGAACAUCAGAGAACUCACACUGGAGGGAAACCCGAUAAAUGUAAAGUCUGUGGAAAAGCAUUCCCUGUGAAUUCGUAUCUUACUCAGCAUCAGAGAACUCAUAGUGGAGAGAAAUCCUGUGAGUGUAGUGUUUGUGGGAAGUCCUUCACUGGUAUCUCUUACACAACAUCAGAGAAUUCACACUGGAGUGAUUAAGAACACAAGUUACCCGCCAUCAGAGAAUUCACACUGGAGAAAAGCCUUAUAAAUGUAAUGAAUAUAGAAAAGCCUUCACUGCCCUGUCAACUUUUACCCAACAUCAAAGGAUUCACACUGGAGAAAAACCCUAUGCAUGUUAUGAAUGGGGAAAAGGCUUCUCUGAAAUUCCUCUCUUAUCAAACCUCAGCAAAUUCAUACCGGAGAGAAUGUAUGAAUGUAAUGAAUGUAGUAAAGCUUUUAGCCAGAGUGGUCAUCUUAUUCAACCCCAGAGAAUUCAUAUUGGAGAAAAACCCUUUACAUGUGAUAAAUGUGGAAACGCAUUUGGUAACAGUUCAGUCCUGAUCAGCCAUGAGCGGCUUCAUACUUUAGAGUCAUCCUAAUGACGCUGUGAUGCUGUGGACUGCUUCAUCCUUUCAUGCCCUACUCUGACUUUUUGAUUACAGGUCUCUUACCCAUGUCACCCACUCCUCCACUUACAGGUAUAAUAUCUAGGAAGAGAUACUAUUUUAGCCUGGGAUGAAGUAAAACAUACUAUUUCUAAUUUAAGGUUCCCACACCAAAGCUGUGGUAAGCAGCAAUUUCAAUAGCUCCUUCGGGGAAGGGACCUUGCUUAAUUAGUCUUUGUAUGUAGUCUUUCCUCCAUGUAUCCUGGAGCUCUGUAGUUGAUAUUUUGUCUCCCCGGGAAUCUCCUCCAAACCUUAAUCCGUUCUGUAAAAUAGCUAAGGUGAAAGCUGCUUUCUGCCACGAAAGGUUUCUGAAUCAAAUUUCCCAACUUUCAUUUCAGGGAUUCCUCAUUAUUAAAACAAUUAUCGUAAUCAAUAUAUUCAGCCAUAUUUCCCAGAUACACCUGCCCAAAAUGUUACUGCUUCAUCAGUCUGAGAUUAAAUAUGAAUAACAUAAAAU